ACUCAAAGGAAUUGACGGGGGCCCGCACAAGCAGCGGAGCAUGUGGUUUAAUUCGACGCAACGCGAAGAACCUUACCUGGGCUUGACAUGACCGUGACCGUCCUGGAAACAGGGCUUUCCUUCGGGACACGGCCACAGGUGGUGCAUGGCUGUCGUCAGCUCGUGUCGUGAGAUGUUGGGUUAAGUCCCGCAACGAGCGCAACCCCCGUCGCAUGUUGCCAGCAUUCAGUUGGGGACUCAUGCGAGACUGCCGGUGACAAACCGGAGGAAGGUGGGGAUGACGUCAAGUCAUCAUGCCCCUUAUGUUCAGGGCUACACACGUGCUACAUUGGCGCGUACAGAGGGCUGCGAUACCGCGAGGUGGAGCGAAUCCCUUAAAGCGCGUCUCGGUUCGGAUUGCAGGCUGAAACCCGCCUGCAUGAAGGCGGAGUUGCUAGUAAUCGCGGAUCAGCACUGCCGCGGUGAAUACGUUCCCGGGCCUUGUACACACCGCCCGU
rnacentral:rRNA from 1 species